AUGGGCAAAUUCUUGCAUUGUAUGGGACUCCCACAAAUUUGCCUUGAAGUAUUUCAGAAGGAAACACAUUACAGCUGCCAUUACAGCUUCUGCCUGCUUAGAAAUCCUUCUUUAAAAACAAAAGUGUUUGAUUACCAGAGCUUCCACCAAUGGAAAAGAAAAACUUGGGGUGCAUCUAUGCCACAGAAUGAAUCCACUUUAACUACCUUGGUUCAAUGCUAUGAAAUCAUGAAGGCUGUAGUUUCAAUAUUUGCCUUUUGGAUGUGUAAACCACCCCGAGUCCUUUCGAGGAGAGAGGAUGGGUUAAAAUUGUAUAUUAUUAUUAUUGUUAUUAUUAUUAUUAUUAUAUACACAAGAUUAGUACACAGCAAACAAGAUUACUAUGCUGGCUGUUGUAUUGGAUCACAUGUUGAACACUUCCCAAGUAUCUAGGACUAUGUGAUGUAUUGGUGAAUAAUCCAAGUAGGGUGGCUUUUUGCAGCUGACAGAUGGUAAUUUUGUCAGUGCCGAUUGUUUUCAAGUGCUGGCCAAGGUCUCUCGGCACUGCACCCUGUGUGCUGAUCACCACUGCGACCACCUUUACUGGCUUGUGCCAGUCUUUGCAGUUCGAUCUUUAAAAUGCUCAUAUCAUGUCAGCUUUUCCAGUUGCUUCUCUUCAAUUCUGCUGGGAUUUCAACAUUGACAAUCUAUACCUUAUUUUUUUUUCCAUGAUCAUGAGAUCAGGAGUGUGCUCCAAAACCCUGUCAGUCUGAAUUCAGAAGUUCCAGAGUAGUUUGACGUUUUCAUUUUCUGUAACGUUUUCAGGCUUGAGAUCCUACCAGUUCUUUGUCACAGGCAGAUGGUAGUUGUGGCACAAGUUCCAAUUCCACCAGCCAAAGGAGCUAAACAUCUUGGGUACAUGAUGAGAUAUAAAAUACUGGAUACACAAGAGAUGCCAAUUUGGAGUAAGGCAGGUGGGUGUAAGCAAGUAGCCAGCAACUAAAAUGUUGACUUUUUGUGGCACCUUGUAGCACCAAGUCCAGAUUUUCCAUAUUACAAAUUCCCCAAGCUGGAGGAAACUGUAUUUCCACAAACACCUUAUUAGAUGGCUCUGGAUUAAAUGCAAAGACUGUCAGAAAAAUUCUGCAGUGAAUCCACUGAUUGAGGAUCUGAUCUUGGUUUCCUGAAUUUCUGCAGACUGGGAUUGUUCAAAAGUGUAUAGAAUAGCAGCCAUCUUGUCCUGGCUCUGCAUGAAACCCGAUAACCUAAAACAAAAUUACCAGAACUUCCUUUAUUACAAAUUUGACACCCAUCCUCUUCUCCCAUUCUUUCCUUUCCUUUUAAAAAUUCCAGACCAACAGACAGAUCAAGGGACUAUACACAGAGAGAACACAUAAAAAAAACAACAUGUUGUGGCUAGCCCUAGAUAUCCAUUUCAAUCCAGUUUUAUCAAUCUUCAAAGUUAGAAUACUGCUGAUGCAAAGGAGAGGAUUUCUGUUUGCUCAUUUGCUUAUUCUCUUAAAACAAGAUUUGGCCAGUGCUAUAAAUUGAGUUUGAAAACUCAUAGAAAUAUUAGGUUGGGUUGCCUGUACGCCAGGGAGAAAACUGCCUGACCUAAAAUCAUUAAGAGAAACAACUGCCAUUAAAAAACCAAGGGUGGGUUGAUGGGCAUAUUUGCAAGGUCAUUUUUGACGCUUCUCAGCUAUCAUACUGCUGCCAUUUCCCCAGAACUAGAAACCAUGUUAUGACGACCAGCAAUCACUUCUAGUGAGCCAUUUUCUUCUGUUGUAGGAUAGGUAAAGGUUUCCCCUUUAUAUUAAGUCUAGUCGAAUCUGACUCUGGGGGGUGGUGUUCAUCUCCAUUUCUAAGCCGAAGACCUGGUAUUGUCCACAGAUGCCUCCAAGGUCAUGUGGCCAGCCUGACUGCAUGGAGCGCCGUUACCUUCCCGCCAAAGCAGUACCUAUUGAUCUACUCACAUUUGCAUGUUUUCAAACUGCUAGACUGGCAGAAGCUGGGGCUAACAGCAGGAGCUCCUCCUGCUUCCCGGAUUCGAACUGCCGACCUUUCGGUCAGCAAAUUCAGCAGUUCAGCGGUUUAACCCACUGUGCCACUGGAUUAUUGUAGAAUAGGGGAGCACAAAUAAAGCUAAAAUGUUGAAUUGUGCCCCUGGGAUUCUUUCAUUCAAGAUUCAAUUUUGGGAGUUUGGGGCACUCAGGGGGGCAUAGGCUACACAGUAUGUUUUCCUCCAAUGUUUUAGGUACCCCAUAUCUUCAUGGCUAUCACUUGUACUUUAUAGUGACAUGAGGAGGGGCCUAACUUAGGAGGAGAGAAAACUUAAAAGAGUUGUGUCCUGAGAAUUCUUUGCCACAUACCAUAUUUUGCAUUGCAUUUCACUUCACCCUUGUUCUUUCUGUGGGGCAUUUUUCUCAAUCAGUUCAUUUCUAAAACUCUAUGUUCUUAGUCCAGAACAAAUCAAAGUGUGACAUAAUAGAAUGCUCAGUUGAGAUUUUUUGAAGCCCUUUAUACUAUUCAGUCAUUGAGGACAGGAAGAUCUGUAGCUAGUUGAGUUCCGUACCAUAAGGGACCUUACUUCUACCUGCCCACCCUCCUAUUUGCCUUGACUGCUACUUUCCAUUUACCUGUUCUUUUCAUCUCAUUGAUAGUAAAGUUAGAGGUGGCUUUCCAACUUUGCUUUUCUUGAUUUUGAGUAUCAAGGAGGUGGCAAAAGCAAACAAGAACAGGAUUUGUGUGGUAGUGGUCCAGGAACAGCAUUUGAACCCAGGUAUUGAACCCUGCAGCAAAAGAAGGACAAGUUGUUUUAUACAUGUCGAACCUGUCGUAUGGAGUUGAAGCCAAAGGUUAUAGAUAGAAGUGGAAAGCUAUUAUUGAUUGAUUGAUUGAUUUACUCUAUUUCUACCCCACUCUUCUCACCCUUGCAGGAGACUUAGAGCAGCAUAUAGAAUGGCAAUAUUCAACGCCGCAUAUUCCACAACAUAAAAGCAAUACAUCAAUACAAUAAACAAUAAAACAUAUACAUAUCAUAAAACUAUUAAAACAUAAUUAAAACAUGGUACUCUGUCCUAAGGUUGUCAUUUGCAUGCAACAUUGUACUGAUUCUAUAUUGCACUAGCCAAAUGCCUAAUUGCAAAGCCAGUUCUUCACUUUCUUUCUAAACACUAGGAUGAAAGGCGUCAGUUUGAUAUCACUGGGGAGGGAGUUCCAUAACUGAGGGCCACCACAGAGAAGGCCCUGUCUCGUCCCUAUCAUUCGUACUUGCGAUUGGGGUGGGACCGAGAGUAGAACAUCCCCUGCAAAUCUUAACUCUCUAACGGGUUUAUAGGGGGAGAUACAUUUGGACAGAACCCUUCCUUAUAAAUAUUUUUGGGGAAACCUCUGUUAGGUUUACGGCACAUCCUAGGCACUCACCAUUAUCACAGGUUUCAAAGCCCUUUGGCAUCACAGGCCUGUCUACUCGUCCAAUUAACCAUGUUCCUAUGACGAUGCUGCGGAGCAAUCUCAUGAGAGAGGAGGUGAAUCCCACCACCACAGAGUGGAAGAAUAAGAAAUAGCUGAAGUUUACGAAUGCUUUCCUGAAGAAGAAAAGAGGUACCAUUUAACAUUUACUAAGCUUUCUGCAUUAGAAAAAAAGAAAAAAAACUGUGGGUUAACUUGCUUUCUGACUAAACCAGUGGUUCUCAACCUGGGGUCCCCAGAUGUUUUUGGCCUUCAACUCCCAGAAAUCCUAACAACUGGUAAACUGGCUGGGAUUUUUGGGAAUUGUAGGCCAAAAACAUCUGGGGACCCCAGGUUGAAGACCACUGGGCUAAACCAAACAUAGUUGAAGUAUGAAGAAUACUUCAGGGAACUAGGAUUUGGAAAUUCUUUUUUAAUAUGUAUUUUUCAAAAUAUUCAUUUUUCUUAUUAUUCUUGGAGGUAACCUUAGAGGUGAAGGAAAAUUUUGAUUUCGCUGUGGAGUCUUGAUUCCAAUUCUAUGGUUGUAUUAUUCUGAGCCUUAGAAUUGCAGUAGACCUGUGGUUCCCAGCCUGUGGUUCGUGGACCACCAGUGGUCCCCAAGAACUAAAAUAUGGUCCGCGGCCUCACCAUUGCUACACUGUUGCAACAAAAGCGACUGGUCUCACAAAACCAUCUUAUAGUGUCGAGGCAAUAGGGAUGUCAGGAGGGGAGAGGCUGACUACCCACAAACAGUGUGACAAGCCUCCUGACUAUUACACUCACACACCCAUGCUGAACAAAUCUUGGACAGAAAGUGACAGGAUGGUGGGCAUUAUAAGAUGAAGUCGGCUUGAAGAAGUAUAAUAAUCAGUAGUUGGAGCUUGCACACAGAUCUUGUCACACAUAAAUAUAUCUCCCCACAAGCUUUCUUGAUUUCACUUACCCAGUUUGAGAGGAUGCUAUUUUGCUAUUGUUAAAAUUCUGAUGGCUGAUUUACUGCAAAUGACUAGAUCCCAAAAUAUCUGUUGCCCACUCCAGCCUUAGGCCCUAUCUACACUAACUAAUGCAAUUUUAAAUAAGUAUUGUAGAAAUUAGUCAAGCUCUGCAGAUAAGAAAUCCUGGAACCAAUUUGAGGC
rnacentral:lncRNA from 11 species